GAAAGACACUACCUUCCUACAAGGACAAGACUGUACUUUAUGCAGAGAACGUCUAAUAAGGUCCAUCCUGACAGGAUGAGAGCUGUGCCUGUGCUGUGCCAGGAGAGGACUGAGCUUGCAGCUGUCAUCCCCUCUGUCGCCCCCUAGUGGCUCCAGGCUGCUCCUCCAGCUGACUUAGGAGUUCAGCAAAACUCCAGUAUGCACCACCAGCUCUCUCUUCUCAGGGACAAGAACACCCCUCCAGAGGAUGCAUCAACAACACAGAACCCCCCACCCGCAGAGCAGGUGCCAGGGCUUGCAUGUCUCACCGUCUGAUCCUUAAUAUCCCCGAUGUCAAUCUCCCAGAAUUUAUAUAUAUAUUUUAAUUUGUGCUCUUAUAUUAACCAGAAAUAAUCACUUCAGAAUGAAUAGCACAUUAUUAAGCCUUCUAGUGGCUCUCACUGUGUUUUAUCUGUGGUUUGUAUCAGUGUGAAAUUCAUCUCCAGCCAUUCUUCAGUCUGAAUACGUUUUAUAUGAGCCCCCAUUUAUCAUCGCCUGUCAGCUCUUAAAUGUAGCAUUAUUCAUUGUAGAGUUAUAAAUUGGAAUCAUUAAACAGUUUUUCAUUUAAUCUGAUGCAA